rnacentral:rRNA from 1 species
AUUGAACGCUGGCGGCAGGCCUAACACAUGCAAGUCGAACGGUAACAGGAAACAGCUUGCUGUUUCGCUGACGAGUGGCGGACGGGUGAGUAAUGUCUGGGAAACUGCCUGAUGGAGGGGGAUAACUACUGGAAACGGUAGCUAAUACCGCAUAACGUCGCAAGACCAAAGAGGGGGACCCUCGGGCCUCUUGCCAUCGGAUGUGCCCAGAUGGGAUUAGCUUGUUGGUGGGGUAACGGCUCACCAAGGCGACGAUCCCUAGCUGGACUGAGAGGAUGACCAGCCACACUGGAACUGAGACACGGUCCAGACUCCUACGGGAGGCAGCAGUGGGGAAUAUUGCACAAUGGGCGCAAGCCUGAUGCAGCCAUGCCGCGUGUAUGAAGAAGGCCUUCGGGUUGUAAAGUACUUUCAGCGGGGAGGAAGGGAGUAAAGUUAAUACCUUUGCUCAUUGACGUUACCCGCAGAAGAAGCACCGGCUAACUCCGUG